CCCCGUCACUCCACACUCUGUCACUCCACACUCCGUCACUCUGUCACUCCACACUCUGUCACUCCACACUCUGUCACUCUGUCACUCCACACUCUGUCACUCUGUCACUCUGUCACUCCACACUCUGUCACUCUGUCACUCUGUCACUCCACACUCUGUCACUCUGUCACUCCGUCACUCCACACUCUGUCACUCUGUCACUCCACACUCUGUCACUCUGUCACUCCGUCACUCCACACUCUGUCACUCCACACUCCGUCACUCUGUCACUCCACACUCUGUCACUCCACACUCUGUCACUCCACACUCUGUCACUCUGUCACUCCACACUCUGUCACUCUGUCACUCUGUCACUCCACACUCUGUCACUCCACACUCCGUCACUCUGUCACUCCACACUCUGUCACUCCGUCACUCCACACUCUGUCACUCUGUCACUCCACACUCUGUCACUCCACACUCUGUCACUCUGUCACUCCACACUCUGUCACUCUGUCACUCCGUCACUCCACACUCUGUCACUCUGUCACUCCACACUCUGUCACUCUGUCACUCCGUCACUCCACACUCUGUCACUCCACACUCCGUCACUCCGUCACUCUGUCACUCCACACUCUGUCACUCCACACUCUGUCACUCCACACUCUGUCACUCUGUCACUCCACACUCUGUCACUCUGUCACUCCACACUCUGUCACUCUGUCACUCCACACUCUGUCACUCGUCACUCCUACACUCUGUCACUCUGUCACUCCGUCACUCUGUCACUACCACACUCUGUUCACUUCUGUCACUCUGUCACUCUGUCACUCUGUCACUCCACACUCCGUCACUCUGUCACUCCACACUCUGUCACUCCUACACUCUGUCACUCUGUCACUCCACACUCCGUCCACUCUGUCACUCCACCACUCUGU
rnacentral:lncRNA from 1 species